rnacentral:rRNA from 1 species
UACGUAGGGUGCAGGCGUUAAUCGGAAUUACUGGGCGUAAAGCGUGCGCAGGCGGCUUCCUAAGUCAGAUGUGAAAUCCCCGGGCUUAACCUGGGAACUGCGUUUGAAACUGGGAGGCUAGAGUGCGGCAGAGGGGGGUGGAAUUCCACGUGUAGCAGUGAAAUGCGUAGAUAUGUGGAGGAACACCGAUGGCGAAGGCAGCCCCCUGGGCCAGCACUGACGCUCAUGCACGAAAGCGUGGGGAGCAAAC